rnacentral:rRNA from 1 species
AAUCAACGCUGGCGGCGUGCCUAACACAUGCAAGUCGAACGCGAAUAUCCCGCAAGGGAUUAGUAGAGUGGCAAACGGGUGAGUAACACGUGGGUGACCUGCCUUCGAGUGGGGGAUAACGUCCCGAAAGGGACGCUAAUACCGCAUGACAUCCUGCCUUUGAACAGGUGGAGAUCAAAGCUGGGGAUCGCAAGACCUAGCGCUUGAAGAGGGGCCCGCGUCCGAUUAGCUAGUUGGUGAGGUAACGGCUCACCAAGGCAACGAUCGGUAGCCGGCCUGAGAGGGCGGACGGCCACACUGGGACUGAGACACGGCCCAGACUCCUACGGGAGGCAGCAGUGGGGAAUUGUUCGCAAUGGGCGCAAGCCUGACGACGCAACGCCGCGUGGAGGAUGAAGAUCUUCGGGUCGUAAACUCCUUUCGAUCGAGACGAACGGCUUCCGGGCUAAUCACCGGGAGAGUGACGGUACCGAGAGAAGAAGCCCCGGCUAACUCCGUGC